UGUCACAGCCAUAUCACUCUGCAGCCCAAGACUGGUUACUCACUGAAGCUAAGCAGGGCUGAGCCCGAUCAGUACCUGGAUAGGGGACCACAUGGGAAAACUAGGUCGCUGUUGGAA
ensembl:rRNA 5S_rRNA 5S ribosomal RNA